GAUUAGUGGCGAACGGGUGAGUAACACGUGAGUAACCUGCCCUUGACUCUGGGAUAAGCCUGGGAAACUGGGUCUAAUACUGGAUAUGACUUCUCACCGCAUGGUGGGGGGUGGAAAGAUUUAUUGGUCUUGGAUGGACUCGCGGCCUAUCAGCUUGUUGGUGAGGUAAUGGCUCACCAAGGCGACGACGGGUAGCCGGCCUGAGAGGGUGACCGGCCACACUGGGACUGAGACACGGCCCAGACUCCUACGGGAGGCAGCAGUGGGGAAUAUUGCACAAUGGGCGCAAGCCUGAUGCAGCGACGCCGCGUGAGGGAUGACGGCCUUCGGGUUGUAAACCUCUUUCAGUAGGGAAGAAGCGAAAGUGACGGUACYUKRCAGAAGAAGCGSCGCGCUAACWACGUGCCAGCAGCCGCGGUAAUAGCGUAGGGCGCGAGCGUUAUCCGGAAUUAUUGGGCGUAAAGAGCUCGUAGGCGGUUUGUCGCGUCUGCCGUGAAAGUCCGGGGCUUAACCCCGGAUCUGCGGUGGGUACGGGCAGACUAGAGUGCAGUAGGGGAGACUGGAAUUCCUGGUGUAGCGGUGAAAUGCGCAGAUAUCAGGAGGAACACCGAUGGCGAAGGCAGGUCUCUGGGCUGUAACUGACGCUGAGGAGCGAAAGCAUGGGGAGCGAACAGGAUUAGAUACCCUGGUAGUCCAUGCCGUAAACGUUGGGCACUAGGUGUGGGGGACAUUCCACGUUUUCCGCGCCGUAGCUAACGCAUUAAGUGCCCCGCCUGGGGAGUACGGCCGCAAGGCUAAAACUCAAAGGAAUUGACGGGGGCCCGCACAAGCGGCGGAGCAUGCGGAUUAAUUCGAUGCAACGCGAAGAACCUUACCAAGGCUUGACAUGUUCCUGACCGCCGUAGRGAUGACGGUUUYYUCCUUUGGGGCAGGKCUCAGCAGAGUGGUGCAUGGUUGUCGUCAGCUCGUGUCGUGAGWUGUUGGGUKMMGUCCCGCAACGARCGCAACCCUCGUUCCAUGUUGCCAGCACGUAGUGGUGGGGACUCAUGGGAGACUGCCGGGGUCAACUCGGAGGAAGGUGGGGACGACGUCAAAUCAUCAUGCCCCUUAUGUCUUGGGCUUCACGCAUGCUACAAUGGCCGGUACAAUGGGUUGCGAUACUGUGAGGUGGAGCUAAUCCCAAAAAGCCGGUCUCAGUUCGGAUUGGGGUCUGCAACUCGACCCCAUGAAGUCGGAGUCGCUAGUAAUCGCAGAUCAGCAACGCUGCGGUGAAUACGUUCCCGGGCCUUGUACACACCGCCCGUCAAGUCACGAAAGUUGGUAA
rnacentral:rRNA from 1 species